CGGCUAACUACGUGCCAGCAGCCGCGGUAAUACGUAGGUGGCAAGCGUUAUCCGGAAUUAUUGGGCGUAAAGCGCGCGCAGGUGGUUUCUUAAGUCUGAUGUGAAAGCCCACGGCUCAACCGUGGAGGGUCAUUGGAAACUGGGAGACUUGAGUGCAGAAGAGGAAAGUGGAAUUCCAUGUGUAGCGGUGAAAUGCGUAGAGAUAUGGAGGAACACCAGUGGCGAAGGCGACUUUCUGGUCUGUAACUGACACUGAGGCGCGAAAGCGUGGGGAGCAAACAGGAUUAGAUCUGUCUCUUAUACAC
rnacentral:rRNA from 1 species